rnacentral:rRNA from 1 species
AUUGAACGCUGGCGGCAGGCCUAACACAUGCAAGUCGAGCGGGGUUUUCGGACCUAGCGGCGGACGGGUGAGUAAUGCGUAGGAAGCUACCCGAUAGAGGGGGAUACCAGUUGGAAACGACUGUUAAUACCGCAUAAUGUCUACGGACCAAAGUGUGGGACCUUCGGGCCACAUGCUAUAGGAUGCGCCUACGUGGGAUUAGCUAGUUGGUGGGGUAAUGGCUCACCAAGCCGACGAUCCCUAGCUGGUUUGAGAGGAGGAUCAGCCACACUGGAACUGAGACACGGUCCAGACUCCUACGGGAGGCAGCAGUGGGGAAUAUUGGACAAUGGGCGCAAGCCUGAUCCAGCCAUGCCGUGUGUGUGAAGAAGGCCUUCGGGUUGUAAAGCACUUUCAGCGAGGAGGAAGGGAGUUGUGUUAAUAGCACAGCUUUUUGACGUUACUCGCAGAAGAAGCACCGGCUAACUCUGUGCCAGCCGCCGCUGUAACAC